AAGUAUGCAGUUCCUGGGAACAAAGGAAGAAUGAAAAAAAAAAUUAAUUAAUUAAAUAAUAGAUUAGUAAUAAAACACCAACAUCUGUCAAGGUUGGUUUACUUGAUUGUAUGUUCCACUUUUUAAUUUUUUCCU
rnacentral:ribozyme from 12 species